AUUGAACGCUGGCGGCAGGCCUAACACAUGCAAGUCGAACGAGUGGCGGACGGGUGAGUAAUGUCUGGGAAACUGCCUGAUGGCGGGGGAUAACUACUGGAAACGGUAGCUAAUACCGCAUACCAUCAGAUGUGCCCAGAUGGGAUUGGCUAGUUGGUGGGGUAACGGCUCACCAAGGCCACGAGCCCUAGCUGGUCUGAGAGUAGGACCAGCCAAACUGGAACUGAGACACGGACAAGACGCCUAGGGGAGGAAGCAGUGGGGAAUUGUGCACAAUGGGCGAAAGCCUGAUGGAGCCAUGCAGGGUGUAUGAAGAAGGCCUUCGGGUUGUAAAGUACUUUCAGCGGGGAGGCGUUACCCGCAGAAGAAGCACCGGCUAACUCCGUGCCAGCAGCCGCGGUAAUUC
rnacentral:rRNA from 1 species